GCGCAGGUGGUGUAAAGGCGUAGAGCAUUCCCGCCCGGUCAGAGGGAGGUGCGGGUUCGAGUCCCGCCUGGCGCU
rfam:Heligmosomoides polygyrus genome assembly, scaffold: HPBE_scaffold0000040